rnacentral:rRNA from 1 species
CAGCCGCCACGGUAAUACGUAGGGUGCGAGCGUUAAUCGGAAUUACUGGGCGUAAAGCGUGCGCAGGCGGUUGUGUAAGACAGGUGUGAAAUCCCCGGGCUUAACCUGGGAACUGCGCUUGUGACUGCACAGCUAGAGUAUGGCAGAGGGGGGUGGAAUUCCACGUGUAGCAGUGAAAUGCGUAGAGAUGUGGAGGAACACCGAUGGCGAAGGCAGCCCCCUGGGCCAAUACUGACGCUCAUGCACGAAAGCGUGGGGAGCAAACAGGAUUAGAUACCCGUGUAGUCCCUGUCUCUUAUAC